GAAGGUCAAAGCCGUCUAUGCUGAGUCCAACAGUGUCUCCUCCUGCUCUGGGCCAGUUGAACUGGGUCAUGUUCACGGGAACACUACAGUGAAGAACGUGUCUGGAGACACCGUUAUUGAUGGUUCGAACAGUUUCCUGAAAGUUUCCUCUAACAGCGGAGACAUUGAUGCGUAUGUGGGAGACGGCGGUGCUGCUGAACUCCACA